CCUACGGGGGGCAGCAGCCGCGGUAAUACGUAGGGGGCAAGCGUUAUCCGGAUUUACUGGGUGUAAAGGGAGCGUAGACGGCGAUGCAAGUCUGAAGUGAAAGGCGGGGGCCCAACCCCCGGACUGCUUUGGAAACUGUAUAGCUGGAGUGCAGGAGAGGUAAGUGGAAUUCCUAGUGUAGCGGUGAAAUGCGUAGAUAUUAGGAGGAACACCAGUGGCGAAGGCGGCUUACUGGACUGUAACUGACGUUGAGGCUCGAAAGCGUGGGGAGCAAACAGGAUUAGAUACCCCGGUAGUCCAUUUAA
rnacentral:rRNA from 1 species